rnacentral:rRNA from 1 species
CACGUAGGGGGCGAGCGUUGUCCGGAUUUAUUGGGCGUAAAGAGCUCGUAGGCGGCUCGGUAAGUCAGGUGUGAAAACUCUAGGCUCAACCUAGAGACGCCACCUGAUACUGCCGUGGCUAGAGUCCGGUAGGGGAGCAUGGAAUUCCUGGUGUAGCGGUGAAAUGCGCAGAUAUCAGGAAGAACACCCGUGGCGAAGGCGGUUCUCUGGGACGGUACUGACGCUGAGACGCGAAAGCGUGGGGAGCGAACAGG